UACGUAGGGUGCAAGCGUUGUCCGGAAUUAUUGGGCGUAAAGAGCUCGUAGGCGGCUCGUCGCGUCGGCUGUGAAAACCUGGGGCUCAACCCCCGGGCCUGCAGCCGAUACGGGCGAGCUAGAAUUCGGUAGGGGAGACUGGAAUUCCUGGUGUAGCGGUGAAAUGCGUAGAGAUCGGGAGGAACACCAGAGGCGAAGGCGGCGACCUGGACAGACACUGACACUCAACUACGAAAGCGUGGGGAGCAAACAGG
rnacentral:rRNA from 1 species